UACAGAGGUCCCAAGCGUUGUUCGGAUUCAUUGGGCGUAAAGGGUGCGUAGGCGGCCGGGUAAGUUGGAUGUGAAAUCCUGGGGCUUAACCUCAGAAUUGCAUUCAAUACUGCCUUGCUAGAGAGCUGUAGAGGAGACUGGAAUUUACGGUGUAGCAGUGAAAUGCGUAGAUAUCGUAAGGAACGCCAGUGGCGAAAGCGAGUCUCUGGGCAGCAUCUGACGCUGAGGCACGAAGGCCAGGGGAGCAAACGGG
rnacentral:rRNA from 1 species